AUUUGAAUCAGAAAAUUACAUUAAGAACUGGAUGCAAAAUUCAAAACGAGAUGUGUACCUAGGAGCCAACUUGAAUGGGUAACUUAAACUCAACAAAUGAAUUUAAAUAAUGUAUAAUAGUAUAAUAACAUAUAUUGGUCUCCACUGCAGUGCACAUUGGCAAAUGGUCGUCAUUUUGCCUAAGGAAAAUGUUGUCAUUUGGUUUUGUUCGUUGCAUAAUAAGCCAGACAACUAACUCAAAGGCAUAAUUAAUAGUGCUUUGAAAGGACUUGACGAUACUCAACAAAGUAAAUCCAAGACUCCUGCUAGGUGGAUUGUUGUUAAAUAUUUCACUGAUCCUAGACCAUUGGAACCAGAAAGAUUGAAGGCACUUCGCAACCAGUGGGCAAAGUACUAUUUGAAAGUGAAAAAUGAAACUUAGGAUGUUUAGACAAUCUUGUAAUUGUAGUUUAUAUUUACUUACUUAAUUUACAAUUCAUGUCUCAACAUUAAAUAUGUUUUAAAUUCAUAGUAAUUAGUAAAUUUCUUAUUGAAUUUUCUGGUAAAAA